rnacentral:rRNA from 1 species
UACGGGGGGGGGCAAGCGUUGUUCGGAAUUACUGGGCGUAAAGGGCUCGUAGGCGGCCAACUAAGUCGGACGUGAAAUCCCUCGGCUUAACCGGGGAACUGCGUCCGAUACUGGAUGGCUUGAGUUCGGGGAGAGGGAUGCGGAAUUCCAGGUGUAGCGGUGAAAUGGCGUAGAUAUCUGGAGGAACACCGGUGGCGAAGGCGGCGAUCCUGGACCGACAC